rnacentral:rRNA from 1 species
GACGAACGCUGGCGGCGUGCUUAACACAUGCAAGUCGAACGGCGCCCAACCAGUGGCAACACUGGGGAAGGUGCAGUGGCGAACGGGUGAGUAACACGUGAGCAACCUGCCUCGGAGACCGGGAUAACAGCGGGAAACCGCUGCUAAUACCGGAUACCCCCAUCGGGCCGCAUGACCUGAUGAGGAAAUGAGUUUCGCUCCGAGAGGGGCUCGCGGGCUAUCAGCUUGUUGGUGGGGUAACGGCCCACCAAGGCUACGACGGCUAGCUGGUCUGAGAGGACGACCAGCCACACUGGGACUGAGACACGGCCCAGACUCCUACGGGAGGCAGCAGUGGGGAAUCUUGCGCAAUGGGCGAAAGCCUGACGCAGCAACGCCGCGUGCGGGAUGACGGCCUUCGGGUUGUAAACCGCUUUCAGCAGGGACGAAAUUGACGGUACCUGCAGAAGAAGCCCCGGCCAACUACGUGCCAGCAGCCGCGGUAAUACGUAGGGGGCGAGCGUUGUCCGGAUUCAUUGGGCGUAAAGCGCUUUAAGGCGGUUCGCUAAGUCGGGUGUGAAACCUCCAGGCUCAACCUGGAGACGCCACUCGAUACUGGCGUGACUAGAGUUCGGUAGGGGAUCACGGAAUUCCUGGUGUAGCGGUGAAAUGCGCAGAUAUCAGGAGGAACACCGGUGGCGAAGGCGGUGAUCUGGGCCGACACUGACGCUGUAGAGCGAAAGCGUGGG